AUGACUGGAGCGUCUGGCUCGCGGAGAUCAACAUGGCAGUUUUCCUGUGCACCCGCAUAAAACCGUCCGCCUACUCAGAUGUGGCUGAGGGAGUGGACUGCUGCUGGUCAUCUCUAUCAGAGGCUGGAGUGCAGUGGCGUUAUCUUGGCUCACAGCAACCUCUGCCUCCUGGGUUCAAGUGAUUCCCCUGCCUCAGCCUUCCGAGUAGCUGUUACUACAGCUAUUCUACUCUUCAUAUGUGAAGGAGUUUGGGUAUAAAAAGAACAAAAGGCAACAUUUGAAGACAUCUCAGAAACCAUUCAAAAGGAAAAACCUUGAUGAUUAGUCAGUAAUUUUGGAGGGAAAAAGUGAAAGGAAUGUUGAUGGACACCACUCUCCUCCCCUGGUGACAACUCUUGAUGCAUCCCUACUGUGACAAGGAAUUCGUGACUAAGAAUCUCAUGGAAUCUAAAUGCGGUCACUGAUGGAAAUUUAGGUUUCCACAAAGAGUGCAGGAAGAAAUUUACAUGGCAAAAAAAAAGAAAAGAUUUGCUCUGGCAAAUGGGUGAGCAAGUUUAUGAACUUUGGACAUAUUGAGAUUAUGUAAGUCCUUGGACAGCAUUAAUAUAAUAUUAUCUAAUUUGUAAUAAAAGUGUAUACCCAUUUUAUUCAUUAAGUAUAAAUAUUUGGAAAGACGAUAGAUUUUAAGCCAGGUAUGGAGUGAACUGACACAUUCAUCCACAAAAGUCAGAUCAAGUUAAUGAAAAAAGAGAAGAUUGAGGUGUUACUAUUCAGUAGUACUUCUUUUUAUUUAUUACUUUAUUCAUCAGCACAUCCAGGAGAGCUUAAUAACUCGCUCUCCUAGAAUAAAAAUCCUAGUUGGUACUCCCACCAUGGCCAAUUUUAAGGACAAGGAACACUAAGUUACAAGGAAAUGACAAUAAUCAGUUCUCAUUAGAUGGUAAGGACAGGUGUGAACACUGUGUUACAGCUAACCAGGAGAAAAAGGAAUGUUACGGAACUUAAACUGCUUAGAAUGUUGAUAUAAUAAAGGGGGAUAGGGAAACAGCAAGCACUGAGGCUGGUGAGCCAGGCAGAAGUCAGAGUGGGAGGAGCCUUGAGGUCUCUCCAGGAGAUUCAGGGACCAUAGGAUUUGGUAGUGAUUCAGGUAUGGGAUGAUCAUGGCCCUCAUCAUUGUAGUGACCACAGUAUUUUGCAGGAAUCCAAAAAACAGAUGAUAGACAUGUCCGUAACCAUGAUAGUGCCCAUGGGAUUUUGUAGCUAUAGAGUGAAAAGAUGACAGUGGCCAUAUCCAGGGUAAUGUCUACGGGAAUUUGUGAAUAUCCAGGUAAGAAAUGAGUGUUUCUACUUAGGAAUUGAACAUGGGAUACUGAAGUUAUAAAGGUAGGAAAUGAUGAUAAACCUAACAGUGGGGGUGAGCAUGGUGUUUUCUAGAUAUCCAGAUAAGAGAGGAUGAUGGCCCUAACUCGAGUACCAAAAUUGGAUUUCCUCAGGUAAGCACAUAGGAGCUGAAGAUGUUUCUUACCAUGUUAGUGAACAUGGCAUUUUGUGCUAUUCCAGACAUGAUGGCGAACCUAACCACAAAAUGACCAUGAGAUUGUCAGGGGUCUAGUAAAGACAUGAUGGUGCCCUUAACUGUGAAGGUUAUGACGAAAUUUGUAGGUCAGUAAUUAAGAGAUGAUGCUGAUAAUAACCACAGUAAGGAGCAGGGGAUUUUGCAAGUAACCAGGUAAGAGAUGAUGGUAUCUCUAAAAAUAUGGUGACCAUGGAAUUUUGAGGAUAUCCAAUCAAGGAAUAAUGUGUUACUAGUAAUGGUAGUACCAAGGGAUUUUACAGUUACCCUGGAAAGAAAUGAUGUGUCCCUAGCAAUGGCAUUUAAUCUGGGUAAUUUGUAGGUCUUCAUGUAUGGUAGGCUUCUCUAAAUCUGGUAGAUCUCACGGGCUUCUGUAGGCAUCCACAUGAGAGAUGACGUGACACAAAUUGCAACCAAUUGCCACCAUUGUAACCUAGGUGUUUUAUAAGUAUCCAGCUUAAAGCUGUAGCUUUAUUUAUUCCUUGGAUGUAAGACUUUCAUGUUAUCUAUUGUUUUCUUUCUUUUUGAAACAGAGUCUGGCUGAGGUAAGUGCUGAUGUGGGCCUAAACCACAGCCUGCACCGUGGGACUGUCACAGAGACACAGUUGAGUGAUGAUGUGUCCCUACAGGCCUUACCACCAUUAUUUCCUUCAUACUUAUUCAGGUGAGAAAUGAUUGAGUCUUGUCUUGGUAAGUGAUGAUGGUGAUGAUGGUGUAGGCCUCCCUGUUGUUCCCGAUUUCGCUUCAGGUGUCCCUGACAUAUUCGAAACCGUGAGUUUUCCCUCUGCAUAUUUCAGAGACAAUGCCUAACCCCGUGUUCACAGUGGAACUUUGAAUACUUGGUAAUUAUCCGGUGUUCCUUCCCACAGCAGUGACCAUGGACAUUUUGCAGGUGUCCUGUAGAGAGAAAUGCUGUCUUCUGGGACCACCGCCCUGAGCUUGGGGGCCCCCACUAGCAUUCAGGUUCCCGGGAGAAAAUCCUGAAGAACGGGGGUCAUGAGCAGGGGACGUGUCUGCUAUCUGGGUAAGUGAUUGUGUGCACCAUAAACUUACCACGGACAACCUGAUCUUCACGUUUGUAGGUCAGUGAGGUUCCUUUCCCUGAACAGUUUACCAUGUGAUGCGUUUAUGGGUAUUCCGGUAAGAAAGGGUAGUGGCUCCUCGUUCUCCUUGCCAUGUAAUCCUAUUGUUUUCUGUCUUGGAGAGAACGUAUGAGGUAAGUACCCUGUGAGUGCUGAUGGAUUGGCACGUAACCAGGGAACUCCAGUGGCACUGUGCAUCACAGGAGUAACUAAGGUGGAUGUGCAGAGAAGACGGCCAGAGAAAAUGAAGUGUCCUAUGAUGUCCUACCCCUUGGAGCAACCACAAGCAUCCAGAAGUCAAGGGAACCCUCAUUAUGCUCGAGCAGGGGCACUCUGCCCAUAUCCAGAGAGGAGACAGUAUGGGCGUAAGCAGGCCAUGGACGAUCCAGUCUUCCGAUACACAGGAUAAUGUGCAUUGAACCUGAGUCCGUGUUGACUGUGGUAGAUGCGGGUGUCCAGGUAUGCCAAGUGGCAUCCCGGAAAACACCUGUCAGAUGCGUUUCUUCUGCUGCUGCUAGUCAUGAGAUCAAGGUGGGUCUGAGAAUGGCCAUUCAGAGGCCCUGGAUAGUAACCAGGUAAUGGAUGACACCAGUCCUAUGCCAAUACAGACCACUUGAACUUCAGAUUUCCUGGACAAAGAGGGCACUGUCCUUGACACAGUGUUUUUCCCAUGGUUUCCUGCAGGAGUCCCGUAAAGUUCUCUUCCUGUAGAGAGGUAGGAGAUGUUGUGGCAUUACCUCAUGAAAGACAUUCUGAAUUUCCUGCAUGUAGAUAGUUAAUGAUGGUUUAAGUCUGGUAGAGUAACCUUGUGUUUGGCAUAUGUGUCAUUGAGAAAAAAUAAUUAGUGAUUCCCAAUGCCAGUAAGCAUGAGAUUUUACUGUUUGCUUAUUCAGAGGUAAGGGCUUUUAUUUUUUUUUUUCGGUAAAUCUGACCCUCCACGUGAGAAACAGAUAUGCCAGUGCCCAGGUAGUUGAUCAUAUUGUCUGUCACCCCGAUGUGGACUGUGCUGUUUCUCCAGGUAUCCCUCGGAGGCUCUGGCUUAGAUAUUUUCAGUUAUCUGGGUAACCUGGAUGAGUUGCGAAACGAUACCAAUGAACAAGAGUAUUUGUGGGUGUCCUCGUAGCAUAGGUUGUGUACCAAGCAGAGUUUCCCCAAUAUGUCUUUCAGAUGAAUGUCAGGGCAUCACAGCAGGCCUUUUGAAGCUAGGUAACGUGGGGCAUUGCUGGCUGAGGUAAGUGCUGACACAGGCCUAAACCACAGCCCGCAGCAUCGUACUGUCACAGAGGCUUAUUUCAAUGAUGAUGUGCCCCUACACAUCUUCCCGCCAUGAUUUCUUUUCCAUGUAUUCAGAUGAGAAAUGAUUCCGUUUUCACCACUCCCAGAUAGGCCGGGUUUUCCCAUUUUAUAAAAGUAUAUGCUGAACCCUGUGAGUGUUGAGGGAUUGCAGGGAGCCAGGUAUUUAUCGCUGUGUUCCCCACUUCUGUGCUGCCGCUCCGAUUUCUAGAGAUGUGCAGUUGAGAAACAGUAGUUUUCUGCUGUCAGGGUCGACCUGAGAUUACUGCAACUAUACACAUCGAGUGGGUGUGUCCCAUAAAGAUGGAAAUAAACAUGGGACUUUGUGGGAGUCUUUGCAGAAAACCCCCUGUCUUUUUACACAUAUGUAUUGGUGCCUCUUUCAGAUUCCUGCUAUGACAUCACAGUGAAUCCAACAUGGGUCCCUAUCAGGAAGCAGGGCUGCUCUGCAGGUCAAGGCUGCAUGAGGACCCAAAGCAACACAUGGGCCACUUGAAGUUCAGGUGUAUAGGUAAGUGAGGAUGGUGUCCAUACUUCCUGUUGUUCCCAUGAUUUCACCUCAGGUGUCCUGGUCAGAAAUGACAAAUGUCCCUGGCACACUAGAAACCGUGAGAUUUCCCUCUGCAUAUUUCAGAGACAAUGUCUAACCCAGUGAGCACAGUGGGACUGCAAAUACCAGGUAAUGAUCUUGGGGUUCCCAGCCACAGCGAUUACGCUGGACAUUUUGCAGGUGUCUUGUAGAGAGAAAUGCUGUUUUCUGGGCCUGCAGCCCUGAGCUUAGGGGGUCCCACCAGCAUCCAAGUAAGAGUCCUUCAACGAUGGAUGCGAGCAUUGUGAUUUGCAUGUGUCCUGUUAGAACACUUUGUGUGUUUCUGAGGCAUAUAUCUCAGUGUAGGUUUUCCAGGGUCCCACAAGGAAAUCCCGAUAAACAGGAGUCAGGAUCAGGGAACACGUCUGCUAUCUGGGUAAGUGAUGGUGUUCAUGGUAAACUCACCACACACCAGGCGAUCUCCACAUACCUAGGUAAGCAAGGUUCCUUUGCCUGAAGGGUUUAUCAUGUGAUGGGUUAACAGGUAUUUUGGUAAGAAAGGGUAGCGGCUCUCCGUUCUCCUCGCCAUGUGAUCCUAUUGAUUUCUACCCUGGAAAGAAUGUAUGAUGUAUGUGGUCUGUGAGGGCUGAUUGAUUGUCACAUACCCAGGGAACUCAUGUGGCAUUGUGCAUCACAGGAGUAACUGUGGUGGAUUUGCAGGGAAACUGGCCAGGGAAAAAUAGUGUGUCCUACAAUGGCCUAGACCCUGGAGGGCCUGCAAGCAUCCAAAUACAUUUUUGACUCCCACAGUGAUUAUACUGAGCAAGGCGGUUUGCAGGAUCCUGAUGGAAAAGCUGUGUCUGUUGAGCCAUUGAUCACACUUGCAGUUUCAGGUUCAGGCAGGCAGAAGUCAGAGCAUGAGGACAACAUUGAGGUCUCUCCAGGCGAUUUAUGGACUCUCGGAUUUGGUAGUGAUUCAGGUACGAGAUGAUCAUGGCUCUCAUCAUUGUAGUGACCAUGGUAUUUUGAAGGAAUGCAAAAACAGAUGAUGGGCCCGUCCCUGACCAUGGUAGUGCCCAUGGGAUUUUUUAGCUAUAGAAUGAAAAGAUGACAAUGACCAUCUCCAUGGUAAUGUCUGAAAUUUUUAAAAUAUCCAGGUAACAAAUGAAUGUUUCUGCUUAGGAAGUGAACAUAGAAUACUGAAGUUACAGAGUUAAGAAAUGAUGAUAAACUUCACCAUGGGGGUGACCAUGAUAUUUUCUAGAUAUCGAGAUAAGUGAGGAUGGUGACCCUAACUUGACUACCAAAAUUGAGUUUGCUCAGGUAGGCAUGAAGGAGCUGAUGAUGCCGCUUCCCAUGUUAGUGAAUAUGACAUUUUGUGGUAUUCCAGAUAUGAUGGCGAACCUAAUCACAAAAUAACCAUGAGAUCAUGAGAUUGUCAGGGGUCUAGUAAAAAGAUGGUGGUCCCCUUAACCAUGAAAGUUAUGAUGAAAUUUUGUAAGCCAGUAAUUAAGAGAUCACAGAGAUCCUAACCGUGAUACUGAACAAGGAAUUUUGCAAAUCACCAGGUAAGAGAUGAUUGUGUCUCUAAAAAUGUGGUGACCGUGGGAUUUUGCAGAUAUCCAAUUAAGGAAUAAUGUGUUCCUAGAAAUUGUAGUACCAAGGUAUUCAGCAGUUACCCAGGAAAGAAAUGGUAUGUCCCUAGCAAUGGCAUUUAAUCUGGGUAAUUUGUAGGUCUCCAUGUAUGGUAGGUUUUUCUAAAUCUGAUAGAUCUCAUGGGCUUCUGUAGGCAUCCGCAUGAGAGAUGAUAUGUCAUAAAUUGUAAGUAACUGCCACUACCGUAACCAAAGUAUUUUAUAAGUGUCCAGCUAAGAGCUCUGGCUUUAUGUAUUUGUUGGAUUUAUGACCAUUUUUUUCUGUGUUUUCAUAGUUUUUUUUCUUUUUUUGAGAGUCUGGCUGAGGUAUUGCUGAUGCACGCAUAAACCACAGCAUGCACCAUGGGACUGUCCCAGGGACCUGGUUCACUGAUGAGAUGUCCCCACACGUCUUCCCGCCGUGAUUUCUUUCACAGAUGACCAAAAUGGAUCCUACAGUAUAAUCACACAGGAUAAUGUUGGAAAGUAUGACUAUCUAAAUUAUUUUUAAAGGCAUUAUUUUUCCCCUUUGAUUUUCAAAUUCUUUCUCAUAAUUUCUAAAAUGGUGUCGACAGCGGCCUGUACUGUGCCUUCACUGAUGUCAUCACUGAGAUCACUCUCAAUUGCUCUCGAACUUGUUGUUGGCCUUUCGUGUAGGUAUGAACUGUGGCCCGGCAGAUCUGACUGUUGUUGCUGCUGCUUCUGUUCCUGCUGAUGCUUUUCAAAAUAGUCUUCUUUUAUUUUCUUCGGCUGUUCUGAAGCAGGAGUUACACAUGAUGUCUUUGGAAGAUCUUGCGAUGUGUUUCCGGAACUACCUUGCAUGCUUAACUCAAUAGUACUGCGGAGAUGUUCAUCUUCUCUAUUGGUUUCUUGGCGGCUUAGUUCAAGGGCCCUCUGAAAAUCCUCCUCAUCUUGGUCUGAUGUUCCAGACUCAUCACUUUCUUCUGAUACUUUUUCAAGGACUGUUUUAUAGACUCUAUGCUCUUUUUGUUUUACUAAUUUUUUUCCAUUAAGUUUUGGUGUAUCCAUCUCUUCGACACUGAUGAUCUGCAGGAGUUGGUCAGCUUCACAGUCUGGCAGAUCACCCUUGACAACAAAUACAGAAUAUGCUUGUUGUUGUAAUCGAGCCAAGAAAUUUGCAAGGCAUGUAUCUGAUAUUAAUUCUGGACCCGCCAAGAGAGAAUUCAAGUUAAACCAGUGUUUUCCAAAUUUUCUAAUAGUAAACCAGUGUUGUUUAUAAUUACAUAUAAAAGAUCUUUCAUUUAUAGGAUCAAUGCCGAGCUUCUGAUAUUCAGGAUUAUUGAAAUGGAUGAUCUCUAAACCCCAGAACUUCAAGGCAUUGCUUAUUACCUGAAUGGAGAAGAAACCGGUAUCAUCCAUGUUUUCUGAAGGCUGCUGUAAAAAUGCAAGAUACUCUUCACUGGUGACUCCUCCUUCUGCCAUUCUCAUCCUCUCUUCUUCAUCUAGCUGAUGUGCAAUUGAGGCUAAUUCCACAGGGCUAAAAUAUUCUCCUUGCAAUAGAUUGUUCAGACAGUGCUGAGCACACAGGAAACCUUCCUGUUUCUCAUGAAAGAUGAAAUCCAUGUUAAUUGUAUCCGUGAGUUUCUGUAGGUAUGCCGGAAGAUGUUGUAUGCCCAGCUAUGGCAGUUACCUGGGCAGUUUGUGGAUAGCCAUGUAACAGAUGUUAGGUUUUCAAACCUUAUGAAGACCAUGGGUUUUUGCAGGUAUUCAGGUAAGAGAUGGUAUGUCACAAAGCACUAUUGUGACCAAGGUGGUUUUGCCAGUAUCCAGUCAAAAGCUGAUGGUAAACCUAAAGUGAAUAUGGGAUUUUGGAGUUAUCCCAUAGAUGAUAAUGGUGACUUGCACCAUAGUAGUGCCCGUUGGAAUUUCAGAUGUCCUAUAAAAAUAAUGUCUCUCUAAUUAUGCUUGUCAGCAUGGUUUUAGUAAGUAAAUAAAGGUGAAAUUUACCACAGCACUAAACAGAAGAUUUGGCAGGUAACUGGGAGAGAAAUAACAUGGGCUUUAACCGAAUGGACACCAUGGGAUUUUGGAACUGUCUGGCUAAGUUAUCAUGAUGUCACUGACCACAAUAAUAGCCAUAGAAUUUUGUAGGUUCCAGUCAAUAGAUGACAAUAAAACUCACAGUGGCAAUGAAGAUGGGACUUUGCUGGUAUCCUAGUUAGAGAUUAUGUGGACCUGAAAAACAUGAGUGACCAAAUGAUCUUCAGACAUCUAGAAAACUGAUGAUGAUGUCCUGAACUCUUUUCUUAUCCAUGUGUUUUUACAGGUGUUCAGGUAAGAAAUGUAUGUGCCUAACAAAAGUAGUAACCAUUAGAUUUUACUGUUUUCUAGUUCAGAGACAAUCUUUCUCAAACUUAGUAGUGACAAAGAUAUUAGCAGGUAUCCGGGUAAGAUAUCACAGAGUUCCUCACCACAGUAGUAACUAUGGGAUUUUUGCAGGAGUCCAGUGAACAGACAGUGUGUGAAACUACUAUGUUGACCUUGGACUUCUCUUGAGUGUCCAAGUACACUUAGUGGUUGCCCUAAUGAUUAUAGUGAGUGUAUGCAUGGAAUUAUCAGGGGUCCAGAUGGAAGGACAUGUAUCCUGACCAGGGUUGCCACCAUAUGUUUUCUCAGCAGGUAGUCAAGAGAUGAUGGUGUCUCUAACUACAACAUUGGCCUCAGAACCUUAAGAUUCAGGUAGAGUUCAUGGUUCCCCUAACAAUACUAGUCACCAUGGGAUUUUUUGAGGUGCGUAUAGAAGAUGUAUCCCUAACCACUACUGCUGCCAUAUGGUUUUGCAAGCUCCUAUCAAGAGAUAAUGGUGAAACUCAUAUUAGUCAUUUUUGUAGGAAUUUCAUGGAAUCUAGCUAAGUGAUUAUGUGGACCUUAAACACAGUACAGACCAUCUGCUCUUCAGACAUCGAGGUAAGUGACGAUGAUGUCCUCAACAUGUGUUGGUAUCAUGUGUUUUGCAGGUAUUCGGGUAAAAAAAAAUGAUACGGGCUCUACCAAUAAGUAUUGGAAUCCAUGAGCUUUAGCUUAACCAGUUUUCUAGUUUAGAGAUAUUGUGUGUUUAACUUUAGGAGUGAAUGAGGGAUUUUCAGGUAUCUAGGCAAGUGAUCAUAACUUUCUUCACCACAGUAAUGACCUUGAGAUUUUUAUAGAUGCCCAGACAAUAAAUGACGGUGCCUGUACCAAUGUGUUGACCUUCAGGUUCUGCCAAUAUCCAGGUAGCAUUAAUGGGUUUGUAAAGAUGGAAGUGACAAAAGUUAUUUGCAGAUGUUCUGCUAGAAAAAGUUGCAUUCUUAAACACAUCUGUCACAAUAUGUUUUUUCAGGUUUCAGUCUAAAGAUCAAGGUAACCCUAACAACGGGGAUUAACAUGGAGCUUUGCUGGUAUCCAGGCAAGUGAUGAUGUGGGUCUUAUCACACGGUAGACAUUGUGACCUUCAGAAGUUUACAUAAGUGAUGAUGAUACCUCUAACAUUUGUGUUACCGUGUUUUUUUGGGUUUUUGCAGAUAUUCAGGUAAGAAAUUAUAGUGUUCCCAUAAUUCCUAUUUAAUAAUACACCCUUGCUGCUUACUAGUGCAGAGAUAAUGUUUUGAAAUCUGGCUAUGACUGAGGGAUUUGUAAGUUUCCAAGUAAAUUAUCGUACUGUUUCUCAUCUCAGUAUUGACUAUGGUAUUUUUACAGGUACCCAGUCAAGAGAUUAUGACAUAUCCAUGGUUUUGACCUGGAUAUUCUGCAAGUAUCAAGGUGCUGUCAGUGGAUGGUGGUGAAACUAACAAUGAUAGUGAACAUGGACUUAGCUAAAAGAGAGGGAAAAGAUGGUGUGAGCCUUUACACUUUGGAGAGCUUCAGAUUUCAGUUAUCUCGGAUUCUGUCAGGAGAUUAUGGUGAGCCCAACAGUGGUAGUUGAUGUGGGACACUGCUGGAAUAUAGGUAACUGAUGUGGUAAGUUUAAAUCACAGCAAGUCUACUUGAUUUUCCUAUAUCUAGGUAAGUGAUUAAUGAUGUCCCAAAUACUUGUUACUGUGUUUGUUUCUUUUUUCUUUAUGUAUUCAGUGAUGAAAAGUUCUUACUAGUAAUAGAACCCAUGAGUUCUUUCUUUUUACCUUUUAGGGAAAAUUUCUUUAACUUUGUGAGUAUUGAGGGAUUGUCACAGUAAUUACCAUUGUGUUUCCCACUGCAUUCGUAAUCAUGGGAUCUUUGCAGUUAUCCAGUCAAGAAAUUAUGGUCUUAUCUGAAAUGGUGUUUACCUUGAUGUACUACAAAUAUUCAAGUAGAGAUGAUGUGUCCAGUAAUAUUGGAAGUAACUAAGGUUAGUUGACAGCAUCCUCAUAGAAAAUAAAUUGUGUCCUUUAACAUGUAUUUUCUAAAGUGUUUUUCAUGUUCCUGUCAAGAGAGCAUGGGGAACCUAAAGACGGUGGUUAACAUGGGACGUUGCUGGUGUCCAGGUAAGUGAUGAUGUGAGCCAUAGUGGUAUUGUUGGCUUCUACUUAGUGUUGUCAGCUUUUGUUUUUUUUUAAAGUAUUCAAGUACGAAAUGAUAAUCUCGUUACUGUUACUAUUAACUAUGUUGUUUGUUUUAUAUAUUAAUGUAAACUUAUGUUUAGCCUAGUGAGUGUUGGAUUUGCAGAAAUCUAAGUAAUUCUUAUGAUGUCCUGCUUGUCAGAUGUAACCCCGGGACUUCUGGAAGUGUGCAGUGAACAGAAAGUGUUUUCACUAACAGUAGUGCAGACCAUAGAAUACUACAAGUAAUCAGGUAGAAUUGAUGGGUCCUGCAAUGGAGGAAGCCACCAACUUUGUCCAUAGCUGUUCAGGAGGAAAAAAUUGUGUGCAUAGGAACAUUUGUAAAAAUUUGUUCUUCAGGUUUCAGUCCAGAGAACAUGAUGAACUUCAAAAUGGUCAUUCACAGGGAUUCACCUGGUGCCCAGGUAAGUGCUGAUGUGAGCCUAAACCACAGUACAGGCCAUCUGAUCUUAGGCCAUCUGAUCUUCAUGUAUAUAGGUAAUGAUGGUGUCACAUUUUUUUGACUAUGUGUUUAUCGCAACUAUUCAGCUAAGCAUGAGAUAGCCCUUAACAAUAUGAGGAACCAUGAAUUUUCACUUUUUUAUUCUGUAGAGAAUGUAUGCUCAACCCUUUUAGUGAUGAAGAACUGCACAUGUCUAGAUAACUAUCGUGGUGCUCCUCCUCCACUAGUAGCCAUGGGAAUUUUGAGAUUAUAGUCAGGAAAUGAUGUUUUUAUCUGGCAACAGCACUUCCUUGGAGUACUUCAGAUAUUCAGAUGCCUAUCCAGAGAUCACAAAGGACCUAAAUAUGUUUGUUAACAGGAGACGUUGCUGGUGUCCAGAUAUGUCUUCAAGAGAUGAAGGAGUUUCUUACCUUGGUUUGAACUUGGAAUUCAGCAGGCAUCCAGAUCCAAGUCAAGACAUCAUAGUGAGUCUGUGAAAGGUAAUCAGGGAGUCUGUGAAAGAUGGGAUGUUGCCGGUAUCAAGGCAAGAGAUGGUGUGGGACAAAAGCACAGCACAGCACAGCCCAUCUGAUCAUCAUGUGCAUAGGUUCCUGUGAACUGAUUGUUAUGAAACUAAAAGUGGAUGUUAAUAAAAACAUUUCUGCUCUAAGUAAGUGAUGAUGCACACCCUAACCAAUCAUGAAUCAUCUGAUUUUUAUAUAUCUAGGUAAGUUUUACCAUUUGAUUUUUGGUACGUAGUCAGGCAAAACAUGAUAGCAUUUUAUUAAUUCUAGCAGACGUGUUAAUCCAGAGUUUGUAUUUCACAGAAAAUUUACAUUUAACCAGGUGAGUGGUCAAUGAUUUCCAUGUGUCCUUGAAAAUAUCUUGUGGCUCCCCAUCAGGGUAGCAACCAUGGGAUAUUAUCAGCUGUGCAGUUAUCACCACCCAUGAUGGUGUCUCUAACAAAGAUAUGUUGACCUUGAAUUGAAGCAAGUAUCUAGGUAGAGUUGAUGUGUAUUCCAAAAUAAUGGAAGCAUACAAGGUUGUAGGCAAGUGCCCGGGGAGAACAAGUUGUGACCUUAAACACAUUUGUCUUAUAUGAUGUUUCAGGUUCUUGUCAAAACUAUGAGGUGAAUCACAUAAUGCUCAGUAAUGAAACAUUGCUUGUAAACAGGUAGUGAUAACUGUUUGCGUCCUGUAAUGGGGGUAAUUACACAAUGCAGAGCGUUGGAUUUUCUAGGUAGGUAAAAAGGGAUCCCUAAUGCUUAAGCUACUGUGUAUUUUGUAGGUAAUCCAUUCAGGUUUUUGGGCUAGUAUACAGCUACCAGAUAAGGUUGUAUUAACAUGUAAAACACCUUGGUAUUUUCGGAUAUCAACUUUAUUAAUGUUUUACACAAUAUUAACUUAAACUUGUUUUUCACAUUUAUGCAGUUAAAAAUAAAUAUGCCUCUAGUAAUACAAAUAAUCAAGAGAAUUUAUUGCAUGUCUUGACAGAUAAUGAGUAUUGAACACUUACAGAGCUACACAAAUCCACAGGCAUCUGGAUUAACAGUAUUGUCCAAAACCAUGAAAUUAACAACUGGAAUUAUGCAGGGAUCUAAUCAAGAAAGUACAAGGAUUCUUAAAAGGCGUUUUCCUCAAAUUUCUACAAGUAUUGAGGUACCUUUGAUGAUUACAAAAAUAAUAAAAGGGACCAGAAAAGAUUGGAGGUAUAUAGGUAGAAUGAUACGUGUACCAGUCACACUGUUCACAAUAUAUAUUUCAGAUUUACAUUAACAUAUCGCAGCAAGCCUGUCAAAGCUAGGUAACAUGGGACAUUGCUGGCAGAGGUAAGUGCUGAUGCGGGCCUUAACUACAGCCCGCAGCGUGGGACUGUCACAGAGACUAGUUCAGUGAUGAUGUGUCCCUAAACGUCAUCCCGCCAUGAUUUUUUCCCAGGUAUUCAGGUGAGAAAUGAUUGAGUCUUAACCAAUCUCAGAUAGGCUAGGUUUUCUAAUUUUCUCUUUCACCGAAAGUGUAUGCUGACCCUGUGAGUGUUGAGGGAUUGCAAGUAACCAGGUAUUUAUCACUGUAUUACCCACCCCCAUACUGCCCCUGGGAUUUGUGGAAGUGUCCAGUUGUGAAACGGUGGUUUUCUGCUAUCAGGGUCGACCUAGGAUUACUGCAAGUAUCCAGGUCGAGUGGUGUGUCCCAUAAAGCUGGAAGAACUCAAGGUUCUUUGCAGGAGUCCUGGUGGAAAACCCUGUGUCCUUCUACGUAUAUGUUUUCAUGCCUAUUUCAGCCCCUGACCGUGACAUCACAAUGAGUAUGAUACAGGUCUGGAGGUCAGCACUGAUGAGGACUGAAAGCAACGCACGGGCCACGUAAGGUUCAGCAGUCUAGGAAAGUGAUGAUGGUGUCCAUCCUUCCUGUUGUUCCCAUGAUUUCACUUCAGUUGUCCUAGGAAAAAAUGGUAAGACUCCCUGGCAUAGUAAACUGUGAGUUUUCCCUCUGCAUAUUUCAGAGACAAUGACUAACCCUGUGAGUGCAGUGGGACAGCAAAUACCAGGUAAUGAUCUGGCUUUCCCAGCCACAGCAGUGACCGUAGACAUUUUGCAGGUGUCCUGUAGAGAGAAAUGCUGUCUUCUGGGACCACGGCCCUGAGCUUGGGGACCCUGUCAGCAUCCAGGUUCCCGGGAGGAAAUCCUAACUAACCAGAGACACAAUCAGGGGACGUGUCUGCUAUCUGGGUAAGUGAUGGUAUGUGCUGUAAACUCAACACAGACCAUUUGAUCUUAAUGUAUUAGGUCAGUGAGGUUCCUUUCCCUGAACGGUUUACCAUGUGAUGGGUUUAUGGGUGUUCUGGUAAGAAAGGGUAGUAGCUCCCCGUUCUCAUUGCCAUGUGAUCCUGUUGUUUUCAGUCCAGGAGAGAACGUAUGAGGUAUGUACCCUGUGAGUGCUGAUUGAUUGGCACGUGCCCAGGGAAUUCACAUGGCACUGUGCAUCACAGGAGUAACCAUGGUGGCUUUGCAGAGAAGCGGGCCAGAGAAAAUAGCAUGUCCUGCAAUGGCCUAGACCUUGGAGGACCUGCAAACAUCCAGGUACAAUUUUGGCUCCCACAACGAUGAUCGUGAGCAGGCGGUUUUCAUGGUCCUAGUGGAAAUGCUGUGUCCAUAGACACAUUGGUCACAUAUGUGGUUUUAGGUUCCCGUGGAAAGGUCACAGGAAACCUCUUCGUGCUUGAGCGGAGGACUGUGCCUGUAUUUAGGUGGGUGAUGGCGUGGGCCUAAGCAGGCCACGGACUAUCCGAUCUUCCCAUACACAGGUAAAUGCAGAUGGCUUUCUGGCUCUUGUCCCUGUCCUGCCAUGGGUUCCUCGGCUCAUUUUCUGUUCUUUAUUUUCUGCAGUUAUUCAGUUAAGAAACGAUGCUUUGCCAACCAAGACUGGUAAGCAUUAGUCCUUGCUAUGUUCAACUUUAGGAAAAUGUGCCUUGAACCUGAGUCCGUGUUGACUGAGGGAGAUGUGGGUGUCCAGGUAAAUUAUCCUACUCUACCAGACCACAGGAUGGAAUGAUAGUUCUGACACAUCCUCAGUCCAGAGUCAAUAAUGGUGCCAGCAGUGGGGUGGAAGUUGGAGUUCUGCCAGGAUCUAGGUAAGGCCGAUGGUUCCCAGAUGAUGGCAGUGACCAGGCUGUGUAGUGCAUAUCUUUUUCGUCUUUCAGGUACGCCAAGUGGCAUCCCGGAAAACACCUGUCAGAUGCAUUUCUUCUGCUGCUGCUAGUCAUGAGAUCAAGGCCAGCCUGAGAACGGCCAUUCAGGGGCCCUGGAUUGUAACUGGUUAAUUGAUCACAUGAGUCCUAUGCCAGUACAGACCACCUGAACUUCAGAUUUCCUGGACAAAGAGGGCACUCUCCUUGACACACUGUUUUUCCCAUGGUUUCCUGCAGGAGUCCCGUAAAGUUCUCUUCCUGUAGAGAGGUAGGAGAUGUUGUGACAUUAUCUCGUGAAAGACAUUUUGUGUUUCCUGCAUGUAGAUAAAAUUAAUGACGGUUUUGAGUCUGGUAGAGUAACCUUGUGUUUGGCAUAUGUGUCAUUGGGAAAAAAUAAUUAGUGAUUCCCAAUGCCAGUAAGCAUGAGAUUUUACUGUUUGCUUAUUCAGAGGUAAGGCUUUGUUUGUUUGUUUUUUGCAAAUUUCACACUCCACGCAAUAGACAGAUAUGCCAAUGCCCAGGUAGUUGAUCAUAUUGUCUGUCACCCAGAUGUGGACUGUGGUGUUUCUGCAGGUAUCCCUUGUAGACUGUAGCCUCAGAGUUCUUCUGUUAUCCAGGUAGCCUUGAUGAGUCGUGAAAUGAUGCCAGUGAACAAGAGUAUUUGUGAUUGUCCUUGUAGCAUAGGUUGUGGACCAAGCAGUUUCCAUAAUAUGUCUUUCAGAUGUGUGUCAGGGCAUCACAGCAGGCCUUUCAAUCCUAGGUAAUGUGGGACAUUGCUGGGUGAGGUAAGUGCCACAGCCUGCAGUGUGGGACUGUUACAGAGACCUAGUUCUGUGAUGAUGUGUCCCUACAUGUCUUCCCAUCGUGAUUUCUUUCCCAGGUAUUUGGGAGAGAAAUGAUUGAGUCCUUACCAAUCCCAGGUAGGCCGAGUUUUCACAUUUUCUGUUUCACCAAAAGUAUAUGCUGAACCCUGAGAGUGUUGAGGGAUUGCAGGUAACCAGCCAGGUAUUUAUCACUGUGUUCCCCACCCCUGUUCUGCCAAUAGGAUUUCUCCUGGUGUCCAGUCAAGAAAUAAUGGAUUUCUGCAUAGAUUUUGACCGUGUAUCACUGAAGUUGUGCAGAUAUUCCGAUAAGAAAUGUAGAGUCCUGGCUGAGCGCAGUGGCCCACGCCUGUAAUCCUGGCACUUUGGGAGGCCGAGGCUGGUGGAUCACAAGAUUCCUGGAAGAAAUCCCAAUGAACAGGGGUCAUUAUCAGGCCACAUUUCUGGUAUCUGUGGUAAGUAAUGAUGUUCACUUUAACCCCAUCACAGACCAUUUGAUCUUCAUAUAUCUAGGUAAGUGAUGUCUGUUUACGUGAACUGUUUAUCAUGUGCUUUUAUAACAGUGAUUUUUGUAAGUAAUGACAGUAUUUCUAGUUCUAGUGACCAUGUUAUAUUGUUUUUAAUUUAGAGAAAACUUAUGGUUUACGCUGUGAGUAUCAAAUGAUUUGCGUGUACACAGAUAACAACGUGGUGUGCUUCAUAGUAGUAACUGUGGUAUCCUUGCAGAUAGGUAGUCAAGAAAAAAUGGUGUGUCCUUCAAGGUUGUAGACCUUGGGAAUACUGCAAAAUUCCAUGUAGAUUUAUGUCUUCUGCAAUGAUGACAGCCAACAAGUUAUUUGCAGGGUUCUGGUGGAAGAGUUGUGUCCACAGACACAUUUGUCAUAAUGUGGUUUCAGGUUCCUCUCAAGGGGUCAUGGGAAACCUCAUCAUGAUCAACAAUGGGACAUUGCUGGUAUCCAAGCCAAUUAUGAUGUGGGCCUUAAACACCCUACAAAAAUGUGAUCUACAGAAAUGUAGGUAACUGUAGAUGGUUUUCCUAAUUUUUGUGUUGCCAUAUUUUGUGCAGGUAUUUAGUUAAGGAAUUAUAUUUUCCCAACCAACGCAGGUAAGCAUCAGUCAUUAUUUUAGAGUUUAGUUAUAAUGUGUUUAGUCUUAUAGUGAGGGAGGGAUAUGCAGGUAUCCAGGUAAGUUUUCCUACUGUUUCCCACCACGUUAUUGACCAUGAGACUUCAACAUCAUCAAGAGAUGAUGGUGCCACUACAUUGUUGACAUUGAAGUCAUGGCAAAUCCAAGUAGUGUUGAAGGUUCCCUGCUGAUGGAAGUGCCCAGAAUUAUUUGUGUCUUGUCUUUUUUUAUGUAAAACAAAUUGUUUCCUUAAACACACUUGAGCAAUGUGUUUUUUAGUUUUCUGUAAUGAGCUCACAAUCAAGCUUAACAAUAGUCAUUAAUGGAACCGUGCUGUAACCUGCUAAUUGAGAAAGUGUGUUUCCCACAAUCAGACCAUUAGAUCUUUAUAUUUCCAUGUAAGUGAGGAUGGUGUCCUUAACACUUGUCUACCAUGUAUUCCUGCAGGUAUCCUGUUAAGUUCUUUCCUAGUAUACAGGUAGAAGAUUAUGUGAUAUUAACACAUUAGCAACCUUCCUAUUUUCAGAUAUGUAGGUGAUUAAUGAUUUUUUUGAGACUCUUCUUGUAACCUUGUGUUUGUCAUGCAUGCAGUUAAGAAAUUACUUUUUCCCUAACAUUACUAGUAAGAGUGAGAUUUUACUGUGUUCUUGUUUAGACAUAAUGUGUAUUUAUCAAUUGUAGUGAUAUAUGGAUAUGCGAGUAUCCAGGUAAUUUAUCAUAUUGUCCAUCACUGUAAUGCUGAGAUUUUUGUAGGUAUCACUUCAAGAGAGGAAAGUUUCUCUUACGAGUGUUUUCCCUUGGCAUUAUGCAAGCAUCCAGUUACCUUUGAUAGGCCCUGAAAUGAUGAAAGAGACGAAGGGAAUUUGCAGGUGUACAGGUAGAAUGAGACAUUUAGGAAACACAUUUUCAACAGUAUAUUUUUUAGGUUCAUUUGAAGAGGUCACAGUGAGCCUAUCAGUAAUAGUUAACAGGGGUCAUUGCUCGUAUGGAUGUGCAUGAUAAUGUGGGCCUAAAACACAGCCCAGCCCAUCUGAUCUUCCCUUAUAUAGGUAAGUGGUGGUGUCCCUAACACUUCUGUUACUAUGAUUUUGUUGUAGCUGUUCAAGUAAGAAAUGAUAGAGCUCUUACCAAUUUAAAAAAACAUUAUUUUUCUCACUUUUUAUAUUUUAGAAUAACUUUAUGAUUAACCUCUGAGUUUUGAGUGAUAGUGCCUAUCCUGGUUAUUGGUGUUUCUUACCACAGCAGUAACCAGGGGAUUUUUACAGGUGUCCUGUCAAGAAAUGACCGUCUUACCUGACAGUGGUAUUGAUCUUGCAUUAUUACAAGUAUCCAGGUAGAGUUUAUGUGUUCUGUAAUGAUGGAGUGACGAAGGUUAUUUUCAGAUGUCUUGGUGGAAAUGUUUGUGUCCUUUAACACAUAUUUCACAAUGUGUAUUUCAGGUUUCUGUAGUGAGACCCUGAUAAACCUAACAAUGGUUGGUAUGGCAGACAUUUCUGGUAUGCAGGCAAGUGAUGAUGUGUUCUUUAACCACAUCAUAGACCAUCAGAUCUUCUUAUAUCUUUUUUUUUUUUUUUUUUGACAGAGUCUCGCUUUGUCACCCAGGCUGGAGUGCAGUGGGGUGAUCUCGGCUCACUGCAGCCUCCACCUCCCAGGUUCAAGCGAUUCUCGUGCCUCUGCAUCCUGAAUAGCUGGGAUUACAGGUGUGCACCACCACAUCCUGCUGAUUUUUGUAUUUUGAGAGAUGGGGUUUUGGCACGUUGGCCAAGCUGGUCUCGAACUCCUGGCUUCAAGCAGUCCACCCACCUUGGCCUCCCAAAGUGCUGGAAUUACAGGCGUGCACCACCACGCCCGGCCAGAUCUUCAUAUAUCUAAGAUCCUGUCAAGAAGACAUGGUAAACCUCAUCAUGAUCAAGAAUGAGACUUUGCUUGCAUCCAGGCUUCCCAAAAGUUGUUUGAUAGUAUACAGGCAUGAGAUGGUGUGACUCUAACUCAUUAGAUGCCUUCGUCUUUUCAGUCAUCAUGUGAUGGAAAGAAAGCUAUCAACUUCAUUCCUGAGACUUCCUGCAACACAGAUCCAUCUAAACUUUUACUUCAUUGGAGGGUCCUUCCUGACCCAUGCAACUCAACAAAAAACUCUCACAGUUUUUAUAUGCUUUGUUGGGGAUUAACCCAUCUUGCAUUGCAUUGCUAGCUUAGUAUGUCUAGCAUGGGCAUGCCUGCUGAAGUUUGGAACUUCCCAUCAAGGAAACAGGAAAAUGCCAUUGGCAAUGAGCUGAAGACUGAUUUACUCUACCAGUUUGGAACAUCUGUUAUUGCUGCUACUACGGUUUCUAUCACUGUUUGAUGCUGGGACUCUUAAGCUCCAACCACGUUUUCACCGAGCUGAGUCGCCUUCUUAUCACCCCUUUCUGGAGCAGCAGGACAUCUGGGGAUGAGAAGAUGGAGAGAUCAUCCUUAUAUAAUGUUGCAGUCUGGAAGCAUCACUCUCAAAAAGCCAUUGUAGAGAAUCCAAGCCGAGUUUAAGAGUGCUGUGGAAAUACACUGCUGCUACUGCUGUUUCUAUUACUGUUUGAUGCUGGGACUCUUAUGCUCCAACCACGUUUUCACCCAGCUGAGUCGCCUUCGUAUCACGCCUUUCCAAUAGAGUCUCGCUCUGUUGUCCAGGCUGGAGUGCAGUGGCAUGAUCUUGGCUCACUGAAACCUCUGCCUCCCAGGUUCAGGCGAUUCUCCUGCUUCAGCCUCACGAGUAGCUGGGACUGCAGGCCCACCAAGCCUGGCUAGUUUUUGUAUUAUUAGUAGAGACGGGGUUUCACCAUGUUGGCCAGGCUAGGCUCGAACUCCUGGCCUCAAGUGCUGGGAUUACAGGUGUGAGCCACCACACCCAGUCCUACAGUUUGAUCAUUUUUAAGGUGCAAAUUCUAUUCAACUUCCCAUAUACAUGGGGUUUCACACUGGGACGGUGAGGCAGGGGAUCAGAGGUGGGGUUAAGUAUUGAAAUCAGCAUAUAAGGCAAGAAUAGUUGAUAAUCAACACUACUCUCUAAAACUCCUUAAAUCAGUGGUGCUACAGAGAUAGUACACUGCUAGAGGCAAUUUAGAAUAUUUUGUUGUGUGUUUUUGGUUAGCAUAGCCAAGGGAGGGGGUACCUUAGAUAUUCAUGAGCCACAGCUGGGGAUUUUAAGCAACCGUCAUUGGUCAUAAAGUCCAGAGAAAAGAAGGAUCCUCUCCGGUCCUUCAGCACUUCUGAAUGCCCUGCUAGACCUGCAUUGUGUGUGAAAACCUGCUCAAGAUUAUCUGAGGAUAGAUGCUCACAGCAUUUUACAAAUAAACACAAAAGUAUUUUUAGCAAUCUUAAUAAACCCUGAAUUUUUCUGGAAAUCAACUACUGUAUGAAUCAAAAGUUUGUAUUUUGCUCUGUAUGGAACUUUUAGCACAAAUCAUUCAUUGUUGUGGAAAAUCCUGACACCACCAGUUCUCAAUAUAACACACCUGAAUCUACUGGCAUUUGUAACUAUUGCAUUCUUAGUUUUCCUACAACUAUUUAUUAUUAAAGGGGAGUACUGUUCUGAUAAGGUUGGAAAUCACUGCCUUGAAUUUCUGUAAAUCACUGAAAUCUAUGCUGCUUGAAACCAAUGUGUAGGGACCAAGGGAAAACUUCCCCUUUGCCCUCUGAAGGUUUGCUGAAAAAUCAACUGACAAAAGGCAGAUUAAUAGGACAAAAGGCAUACAAUUUAUUAACGUGCAUGAGAGUCCUACAAAAUAGGAGAUCUCAAAGAAAUGGCCAGAUAAUUAAUUGAUGCUUUUAUACCAUCUUGAGGUUACAGAAUGAAUGGGGACUUGGGAGAUUGCAAAGCACGCUAUGUUGGCAAAACAGGUUAUAGGAGAAGGAGGAGAGGAGGCCUGGCUGGCAAAGGUGGUCUUGUUAACACAGAAAAGACCUCACAGGUAGCAGCUCUCAGAGAGAAUAGAUGGUAAAUGUUUCUUUCAGACCUUUAAAGGUGUCGGACUGUCAGUUCAUCUUUCCUAGAUCCGGACAAGGCAGAGCUAAGAGAAAACCUGGCUGCAUCAGUGCAGAUUUUCUCUACAGAUGCAAAUCUCUCCCCACAAAAGACAGCUUUGCAGGGCUGCUUCUGUUUGCAGGCGCCCUGAACAGCCAUCUCAAAAUAUGU
rnacentral:lncRNA from 1 species